GCAUGUUUUGAAUUAUGCAUGUUUCAGGGUUGAAGGAAAAGUCUGUAAACUUAAAGGAAAAGUGUUUUUUUGCCAGGACAUUAUCAGUUUUUCUACAGAGUCUUACACUGUAAACUAUGACAUGGAGAAGUUUCCUUCUGAUAUUUCCUCAGUCAAGAUAAUUCUCUUCUACUCUGUUCUCGUCUGUCGAGCUGCAGUGAGUUAGUUUGGCGUCUCAGCAGGUGUUUGGGUUCCUGAACCUGAUCCCGUGCUGCUCUCUCAUCAAUAAUUCACAGGACAAACGUUCAGGGCUCCUGGAUCCCCGAGCAUCAGAAGCUCACUUUGGCAGCGGAAAGUGAAGCAUGUCCAAGAGAAGAUGGGUGGAGUUCAAGAUCAGUCAAACCAUCAGCUGUUCAGCUCCGGUCGGCCGCAGGAAUAGACCUCCGUCUCCAGCAGCUGCUGCAGCUGGCCGAGUACCGGCAGAGGAAAGCUCAAUCCGAUGGCCAGAAGAAGCAGAAGAAGAAGAAAAAGAAGCCGGAGGAGCAGGGAGGAGAUCAGAGCGUGUUUUCCCGCGGCGGAGAAGCCGUCACACACGACCAGACCUACACCAUAGAGGUGAGCAGAGAUGUGUUUGAGUAGCACUUCCUGUUUAUCCUAAUCCUAAUCAGAGCACACUUAAUAACUCUCAACUAGUGGCAGUUACAUUUAUUUUGUAUCAAAAAAAAAAAAACUAAAUUAAAGUUAAAUUUAGCCCGAAAACAGAAGAGUAAUCAUAUGUAAUUAAUAAUGAACACUCCAGUGGUUGAACACAAACAUGCUUUUUAAAUGAUGUGUUUGUUCUAAUUCAAACUGUUGUUGGAAAUAUAAACAUUUAAAGAUUUGUAACUUGUUAAUGAUGCUAGAAACAUGUUAUCUCAGUUUUUAAGGAGCUGUGGUGUUUCUGUCUGAAAUGCCUGUAUAGUAUGAUUUGAAAUCGCAGUGCUGCACAUGUUAUGAGUAUGGUUAUUUGUUUAUGAGUAUAACAACAUUAGAUUAAUCCCAGAUCUCUGUUUAUGUGAGCUCUGUAGCUUUAAUGGCAUUAUAAAGGUGCAUGUAAACGCGGUCAGUGUCGGAUCUGAGCAAGCGCUGUUGUUUGUGUUUGUGUGGAUGUUUCUGCAGGCUGUUGUUGUGGAGGAACUGCUGUAACUAAUGUUUAAAGGUGAAGUGUGUAAUUUCUGCGGCUCUGAAGGGAAUUGCAGAAAUAAUGACUCCAAACAAACACAGAGGCCAUGCAUUAUUGAAGAUAGUGAUAGAAAACAAGAUAGAAAAAUUAAGACUUUCAGCUCAGUGAUUAAAGGAGUCAUAUGAUGCGAUUUCAAGUUUUCCUUUCUCUUUGGAGUGUUACAAGCUCUUGGUGCAUGAAGAACGGUUCACUGUUUGGGAAGGUGCACGCUCCGUCACCGGUCCCGCUUUAGCGGGCGCAUUGACUUUAGGUUACUCACGUAAACCCGGUUCUCUGAUAACAUGAGGCGAUUCCCAAAUUGAGAUACCGAACGAAUGUUUGAAAGAGAACUCUUCGUCUGCACGUGCUUUGAAAUAGGAAUCGUUGCCAAUCUCAAACCUGCCAAUCUGAAGGAGACGCUGUGUAUGGUGUUU
ensembl:lncRNA